GAUACGACCGUACCGCAAACCGACACUGGUGCGCGAGAUGAGUAUUCUAAGGCGCUUGAGAGAACUCAGGAGAAGGAACUCGGCAAAUUGACACCGUAACUUCGGAAGAAGGUGUGCCCUAUUAGUGUGUAGUGAACAACGAAGCAUGAAUGGGUUGCAAAAAAUCGGUGGCUGCGACUGUUUAUUAAAAACACAGCACUCUGCAAACACGAAAGUGGACGUAUAGGGUGUGACGCCUGCCCGGUGCUGGAAGAUUAAAUGAUGGGGUGCAAGCUCUUGAUUGAAGUCCCAGUAAACGGCGGCCGUAACUAUAACGGUCCUAAGGUAGCGAAAUUCCUUGUCGGGUAAGUUCCGACCUGCACGAAUGGCGUAACGAUGGCCACACUGUCUCCUCCUGAGACUCAGCGAAGUUGAAAUGUUUGUGAUGAUGCAAUCUCCCCGCGGAAAGACGGAAAGACCCCAUGAACCUUUACUGUAGCUUUGUAUUGGACUUUGAACAGAUCUGUGUAGGAUAGGUGGGAGGCUUUGAAGCAGGGUCGCUAGAUCUUGUGGAGCCAACGUUGAAAUACCACCCUGGUGUGUUUGAGGUUCUAACCUAGGUCCAUUAUCUGGAUCGGGGACAGUGCAUGGUAGGCAGUUUGACUGGGGCGGUCUCCUCCCAAUCGUAACGGAGGAGUUCGAAGGUACGCUAGUUACGGUCGGACAUCGUGACGAUAGUGCAAUGGCAUAAGCGUGCUUAACUGCGAGACUGACAAGUCGAGCAGAUGCGAAAGCAGGACAUAGUGAUCCGGUGGUUCUGUAUGGAAGGGCCAUCGCUCAACGGAUAAAAGGUACUCUGGGGAUAACAGGCUGAUACCGCCCAAGAGUUCAUAUCGACGGCGGUGUUUGGCACCUCGAUGUCGGCUCAUCUCAUCCUGGGGCUGUAGCCGGUCCCAAGGGUAUGGCUGUUCGCCAUUUAAAGAGGUACGUGAGCUGGGUUUAAAACGUCGUGAGACAGUUUGGUCCCUAUCUUCCGUGGGCGCUGCAGAUUUGAGGAAGCCUGCUCCUAGUACGAGAGGACCGGAGUGGACACACCUCUGGUGUAUCGGUUGUCACGCCAGUGGCAUUGCCGAGUAGCUAAGUGUGGAAGAGAUAACCGCUGAAAGCAUCUAAGCGGGAAACUCGUUUCAAGAUGAGAUCUGCCGGGGCCUUGAGCCCCCUAAAGAGUCGUUCAAGACCAGGACGUUGAUAGGUCAGGUGUGGAAGCG
rnacentral:rRNA from 1 species